UAGGUCCUACGGGGCGCAGCAGUGAGGAAUAUUGGUCAAUGGGCGGGAGCCUGAACCAGCCAAGCCGUGUGAGGGAAGAAGGUACGGCGUAUCGUAAACCUCUUUUGUCAGGGAACAAAGGCGGGGACUAGUCCCCGGAUGAGGGUACCUGAAGAAAAAGCAUCGGCUAACUCCGUGCCAGCAGCCGUGGUAAUACGGAGGAUGCGAGCGUUAUCCGGAUUUAUUGGGUUUAAAGGGUGCGCAGGCGGCCUGUUAAGUCAGCGGUAAAAGCCCGGGGCUCAACCCCGGCGAGCCGUUGA
rnacentral:rRNA from 1 species